rnacentral:rRNA from 1 species
GCAAGGUUAAAACUCAAAUGAAUUGACGGGGGCCCGCACAAGCGGUGGAGCAUGUGGUUUAAUUCGAUGCAACGCGAAGAACCUUACCAUCUCUUGACAUCCACGGAAGCUUGGGGAGACCCGAGUGUGCCUUCGGGAACCGUGAGACAGGUGCUGCAUGGCUGUCGUCAGCUCGUGUUGUGAAAUGUUGGGUUAAGUCCCGCAACGAGCGCAACCCUUGUCCUUAGUUGCCAGCACGUAAUGGUGGGAACUCAAGGGAGACUGCCGGUGAUAAACCGGAGGAAGGUGGGGACGACGUCAAGUCAUCAUGGCCCUUACGAGAUGGGCUACACACGUGCUACAAUGGUCAGUACAAAGGGUUGCCAACUAGCGAUAGUGAGCUAAUCCCAUAAAGCUGGUCGUAGUCCGGAUUGGAGUCUGCAACUCGACUCCAUGAAGUCGGAAUCGCUAGUAAUCGUAGAUCAGAAUGCUACGGUGAAUACGUUCCCGGGCCUUGUACA